rnacentral:misc_RNA from 1 species
UCACUAGUUGACAACUUAAGAAACUAAAAUGGAAACUAGAUCUAUUUCAAAAUUGCGACAAGAAAAUCAACAUAAAGAAUUGUAUAUCAGAAAAUUUUCUGGGCAUACCAAAGGCACACAUGCUACCAGAGAAGUAGAAUAAACGGCUUUCUAUAUUUCUAUGUUCCACAACAAAAAGAAUCAGAAUGUAUGUAUUAGAAUGUCAAGCAUCCCCAAACACAAUCACAAGCACAAUUGAGAUGGAAACAAAGUUUACAGCAUUUCUUCCUGUUGUUGACGGUUUUGUGGAUUUUGCAGCAUCCCUAUUAAAUAAUAAAUAACAGAAAAACUUUAGUCAUGUAACACGCUAAAUAGUUACACUGUGCAUUUGUAUGGAAAGAACCGAACCCCAGGCAUCAGUUGAGAUAAAGAAAAUUUAUGCAAAAUUUACACAGCAGUUAAGUUGCAUUAACAUAUUCCCUUGUUGAAAUUUGAAAAAAGUCAUCCGCCCAAAAGAAG